GCUCGUCGGUGUGGGGUUCGAGGCGGUUGAGUGAGACGAGACGCGCCCCUCCCACGCGGGGAAGGGCGCCCGCCUGGUCCGGCGAGCGCACGUCCGGUGCUCCCCUCUGGCGGGUGCGCACGGGCCCUGUGAGCGAUCGCGGUGGGCUUGGGCUGGUGACGCGUGCGCCGGCCGGCCGCCGAGGGGCUACCGUUCUGCCUCCGACCGACAGGGUCUCACUCUGUCACCCAGGGUGGAGUGCAGUGGUGCAAUUAUGGCUCACUGUAGUCUUGAUCUCCUGGGCUCAAGCAGUCCUCCCAACUCAGCUCCCAAGUAGCUAGAACUACAGAAAUACUAGGCUUUAGAAUUUCACCAUAUGAAUUUUGGGAGAGAGGAGCACAGUUCAGCCCAUAACUAACACACGACGGAAUGAAGUUGAUAAUAGUGAGACCUUGUUGGUACAAGACUAUGUAACAUAACCUGCGCUUCUCAACAAAGAAUUGCUUUUCUGACUUCUGCACUCAACUACUCAACAUGAAGGCAAUAAGAAUGAAGACCUCUAUGUAUAAUAAUUGACUUCCACUUAAUAAAUAUCCCCACUUUUGUUCCUAGAGCAACACGCUGUCCUGGAUAGCUAACGUGUUUAUGAAUGCAAGGAAAUUUUCAAAAAGGGAGUUUGAAAUUUAACUCCACAAACUACUAUCUGGAUUGGAAUGCUACAUUAAAUGUAUUAUAAUUUUGUAUGGACAUAUAAGGAUGGGGAAUGAAAAGCAUCCAAGGCCAUAUGUUGAUAAUCUUUUGAUAUGUUAAGAAAUAAUCUAGUGUUAUUUUCUAUUUCUUCUCAAAUGUUUUUAGAGGUUACUUGGUAC
rnacentral:lncRNA from 10 species